GCACCUGUCGCACCUCCUGGUUUUGGCAGAAUGAAGUGAGGAGACAGCUGGAGUCAUUAUAGUUCAUCUGUUUGAAGGUUGCCCAAAUGAAAAACAAACAAACAAAUCUGGUGAGUUUCGUGUUUCUUUUAAGUGUACAGAAAUGCAGCUGCUAAGUUGUGUAGGAGAUCAAAGGAGCCUUUUAAAUUCAAGACACCAAAGUGUUCUUGCUGGUUUGAUCCUUGGUGGAGAUUUGUUAGCAAACUUUAGAAGGAAGUUACAAAAGAGGAUUAGGUGUAUUAAACUUGUCUGAGCUGUGGAAAGUUCUUUGUAAAGCUCAUUGUGUGUUCAUUGCAGAUUUCUGUGGAGAAUGUGAUAGUGUAGUGAGCCCAGAGGUUGUGUUUUGGGUGAUUGGACUCAAGUGCAAAGUAGAAAAACAUUUCUUUAAUACAGAAAUAAGGCACUAUGACUAUUGCCUAUAAAUUGUCUAUUAGAGAGAAAGAAAUAUAUUCUGAAGCAUUCAAUAAUUUCAGUACUUUGAGUAAAAUGAAAUUUAACCUUAGCUCCCAAGUUUGAAGUUGUCUCUUAAAAACAUCAAGGCAUUAUGUAGCUAAAAUAACUGGCAUAUUAUUUUCAGUGUACAUUGCAAUAUUUUAAAUAGCUUACACUUCAAAUAAUCGGGGCAAACAAAAUGUGUAUUUAUUAUUUUCUAUUGGUGCCUUAGCAGUUGUUAAUUUUCUUAGCAUUUUACUAGUAAAAUUAAUUUUCAUUGUGGGUUACAAUAAAAAAUAGUGUUUUAAUAUUAAAAUUUUCUGAACAUAAAAAUCUUAAACAUAUAUUUAAAGUCACAAUUUCAGUUUUAUUUUGGUCAGAAUUGGUUAAUACGCUGGUUUGUAAAUGGUGUGUACUUUAUAGUCAUCUUCUUUACUUUGAACAUGUUUUAAAUGACUUUGAUCCAUCUCACUCCUCUACUUAGUAGCAGAAAAGUUUAAAACGCUAUGUAAAUAGAACUAAAGCAAAUGUGCUCACUAAUAUAUUUUUGUUGUAUUGUUGUUUAUAAUUUUUGUAUUUGUGAUAAAAUCUAUUUUGGUUAUUCUGAGAUUUUUUUCCCCCUAUUUGUUCUCCAGAUUCAAUUAGUUGCUUUCAGCUAACUCCUUUUUUUUUGUCCUGGCUACAAUAAUGUAUCUAAAAAAUUAUUUUUCAUCUGGGAUUGUUUUAAUCCACAACUUUGAGAACUGUUUAAUACUUAGUUAUUUAGUCAAGUUUGAAUCUUAUUUUGACAGCAUUUAAGGGGCUUAGGAGGGGGAAAGAGAAACUGAGUGUGGAAGAGGCUCUUGAAUUAAAAAUGUAUAAAGGUUAAACAUCAAACACUCAUGACUGUCAUCAUAAUAAUUCUAAAUUGCAGCUGACUAUGAACAUUGAUCUCUUUCUCCAAUAAAUCUUAACCUCCUUGUCAUAUUUUCUUCUUCUGUUGACCUGAUUUUCAUUUUCUUAGCCUCUGGGAUGUUAGCUCCAUAAAAGGUAGGUUUGAGGACAGGAUCCCCCAAAGGUAGGUUUUUAUUUCAGCUUCAUACCAGGCAGCUUACCAGAAGAAUUCCAAAUGAGGUGCUGGUUGGGUACCCUGUCUUGUCAAAUUACUGAGAUGUGGCAUUGAUUGGUUCUCAAGUGGAAGGCAAUUGAUUACUUGUAUCUAUCUAAUUUUUAAGUGAUGUGUGUAGAAUCUCUGGAAAUAAAACUUUAAAAACAGUU
ensembl:lncRNA novel transcript